rnacentral:rRNA from 1 species
UCGAGAAUCUUCGGCAAUGGGCGCAAGCCUGACCGAGCGACGCCGCGUGUGGGAUGAAGGCCUUCGGGUUGUAAACCACUGUCAGAGGGGAUGAAAUGCAGGUGGGUUCUCCCAUCUGUUUGACAUAGCCUCAGAGGAAGGACGGGCUAAGUUCGUGCCAGCAGCCGCGGUAAGACGAACCGUCCAAACGUUAUUCGGAAUUACUGGGCUUAAAGGGUGCGUAGGCGGCGCGGAAAGUUGGGUGUGAAAUCCCUCGGCUCAACCGAGGAACUGCGCCCAAUACUACCGUGCUUGAGGGAGAUAGAGGUGAGCGGAACUUAGGGUGGAGCGGUGAAAUGCGUUGAUAUCCUAAGGAACACCGGUGGCGAAAGCGGCUCACUGGAUCUCUUCUGACGCUGAGGCACGAAAGCUAGGGUAGCGAACGGGAUUAGAUACCCCGGUAGUCCCUGAGCGGGCUGGCAAGGCGCAU